rnacentral:rRNA from 1 species
CAGUCGCCGCGGGAAUACGAAGGGUGCAAGCGUUAAUCGGAAUUACUGGGCGUAAAGGGCGCGUAGGCGGAUAGUUUAGUCAGAGGUGAAAGCCCAGGGCUCAACCUUGGAAUUGCCUUUGAUACUGGCUAUCUUGAGUUCGGAAGAGGUAAGUGGAAUGCCGAGUGUAGAGGUGAAAUUCGUAGAUAUUCGGCGGAACACCAGUGGCGAAGGCGACUUACUGGUCCGAUACUGACGCUGAGGCGCGAAAGCGUGGGGAGCAAACAGGAUUAGAUACCCGGGUAGUCCCUGUCUCUUAUAC